AUGAAGUCGGCAGCAGCGACGAAGACGAGAGGAGCAGGUCCAGACCUGGUUUAUCGAAUGGAAAAGGGAAACGUUUCAAAGGAAUCCACAACGGCAUCGAACUCCGGCCUCAGCACAGCCUCCUGCAGCUCUCGCCCAAAAUGUCCAGACGUGGCUCCAACGAUGCCACCUACCUGCUGCCCGACCUCCUGCAGAAGACCUCCCGCUCCAGCCCGACCCACAAUGCACCGGGCAAAGAGGUUUAAGCUACUCCAGAGUCCGACGGCUACACGCAGCCCCACGCACCAUGAGCUGCUGAGUCCAGGAGCUAAUAACUCCUCCUCGUUCCUGUCCUUCGUCGACUCCAGACUCCUGCACGUCUCUCCUCCGCUGAGCCCCAGUGAGUUUAUGUCACGUGUCCCUCUCAGGAAGCCGGAGUGA
rnacentral:lncRNA from 1 species